AGUGAACGCUGGCGGUAGGCCUAACACAUGCAAGUCGAACGGCAGCACAGUAAGAGCUUGCUCUUACGGGUGGCGAGUGGCGGACGGGUGAGGAAUACAUCGGAAUCUACUUUUUCGUGGGGGAUAACGUAGGGAAACUUACGCUAAUACCGCAUACGACCUACGGGUGAAAGCAGGGGAUCUUCGGACCUUGCGCGAUUGAAUGAGCCGAUGUCGGAUUAGCUAGUUGGCGGGGUAAAGGCCCACCAAGGCGACGAUCCGUAGCUGGUCUGAGAGGAUGAUCAGCCACACUGGAACUGAGACACGGUCCAGACUCCUACGGGAGGCAGCAGUGGGGAAUAUUGGACAAUGGGCGCAAGCCUGAUCCAGCCAUACCGCGUGGGUGAAGAAGGCCUUCGGGUUGUAAAGCCCUUUUGUUAGGAAAGAAAAGCAGCAGAUUAAUCCCCCGAUGUUCUGACGGUACCCAAAGAAUAAGCACCGGCUAACUUCGUG
rnacentral:rRNA from 1 species